UUUUCAGCGAACACUACCGGUGAAGAGUCAAUUUAUACAGUUUAUGAAGGACACGAAAUCAUGUUCCACAUCUCCACUUUAUUACCAUAUUCCACAGAAAACAAACAGCAGGUUGAAAGAAAGCGGCAUAUAGGUAACGAUAUAGUCAACAUAAUCUUUUGGGACGGUGAUACUAACAGUGCAUCAGUAUUUAAACCAAGUAUGAUGAAAACAAGAUUUACACACAUAUUUGCCUUGGUAAUUUACAACACAGAGACG